rnacentral:lncRNA from 1 species
UGAAGGGGAGUGUUGAGCUCUAAAAUAAAUAAAUGUCCCUUGUGUUUGUGAAAUAGUGUGAAACGUAGUUCUUCAAAUCAAUGCUAUGAUGUUUUUGAAAAAUUGACACAACUCAUCCCGAGUCACCUUAAUGGACUCAAAACUUGACGUGCGCAGAUGGUAAAUACCAGUUAAAUGCCGGACUCACCAAGGCAACUUUGACUAUGAUAAAUUUUUUUUUUUUUUUUUUNNNNAUGAUAAAUUCUUUUUUUUUUUUUUUUAUAGGUAAUCAAAUAAUUUUAUUACUUAAAAGAGAAUACACGGGGGGGGUACAAUCACUUUAAGCUCUUAAGGAAAAACAUGAAAUUAGGCAACCCAUCUACAGGAUUUCUAGCCACAGCAUUAAACCAAGAAUACAAGGUAAAGUACCAUGAUAAAUUCUUAAAAAGAAUUUUGAC